rnacentral:rRNA from 1 species
GAUGAACGCUGGCGGCGUGCCUAAUACAUGCAAGUCGAGCGAACAGACGAGGAGCUUGCUCCUCUGACGUUAGCGGCGGACGGGUGAGUAACACGUGGAUAACCUACCUAUAAGACUGGGAUAACUUCGGGAAACCGGAGCUAAUACCGGAUAAUAUAUUGAACCGCAUGGUGCAAUAGUGAAAGACGGUUUUGCUGUCACUUAUAGAUGGAUCCGCGCCGCAUUAGCUAGUUGGUAAGGUAACGGCUUACCAAGGCAACGAUGCGUAGCCGACCUGAGAGGGGGAUCGGCCACACUGGAACUGAGACACGGUCCAGACUCCUACGGGAGGCAGCAGUAGGGAAUCUUCCGCAAUGGGCGAAAGCUUGACGGAGCAACGCCGCGUGAGUGAUGAAGGUCUUCGGAUCGUAAAACUCUGUUAUUAGGGAAGAACAAAUGUGUAAGUAACUAUGCACGUCUUGACGGUACCUAAUCAGAAAGCCACGGCUAACUACGUG